CCCCACCCUGCGGCCGUCCGGGCCGCUCCGCGCGGGGCGGGAGUCCGCCGCCUUCCACUGGCUGCGCGCGGCUGCUGCUAGCCCGUCAGGCGCGGUGGCCAAGUGGUAAGGCGUCGGUCUCGUAAACCGAAGAUCGCGGGUUCGAACCCCGUCCGUGCCUGCCGAGGGAGCGCGGCUCGCGCGCUGCAGCCACGUUCCCAGCACACGGGUUCUGCACGCCAUGGGGAGCAGCCAGCAGGUGUUUGUGGGAGGAGCUGCAGUCCAGAGACCUGACCUCAGGUGUGGAUGUGUCCCCUGCUGAUGGGGGACCUGUCUGCCCUGUGCCUGAUCCAGUUACCUCCAAAGCACCGCACGCUCACACUCAAUCCUUCCAUGCAUGGAGCUGUGCUGCUCAACUCGGUGUAGCUGUUCCUGCUGUGAUCUUCAGUGAGCAUCACUGUGAUUGCUGACAGCUCGUACAAAUACGUUAGAAGAAAUUCUAAAUGAAAAUUAGGUGUGGCUUCGUACAGCAAUGAGAGGGGCUGAGGCAUUUGCUGUGUGCCAGGCUGGCUGCUGCCAUGGAGCAUCAUUCGCUGGUGAGACAGGUGAGGAUAUUCAUCUUGUGCUGCACGUGGCCGGGACCUUGGGCUGCCCGAACCUCAGCAUUCCCAUUGCAUGCAGAACAGCUGCGCCGGCCCCGUCCGUGUCCCUGGAGAUGGCAUGUUUGAACGGCAGCAACUCCAAACACGGCGCAGCUCUGCAGCUCAGCCCCAUUGUUCUGAGGCUGGAUGUAACACAGCGCAAGUGAGCCCUGCAGAGCGCCUGGGCCUGCCCUGGACAGGGGCACCCCAGCUGUGUGAGAUGGCUGCUCGUAGCACACUUUGUGGGUUAUGGAGACAGUGUCGUGUUUGUCCUAACCUGUAACUGCUGGGAAUGGGUCCUUCGUUGAGGGGCAGGGCAUUUUUAAUGCAAGAGGGGGAGAAAAAAAAUAGCGCUGCGAGUCCUCAGUGGUUCCCUGCUCUGCUCCAAAGGCCCCGGGAGCCCCGGAGCAGCUCCCAGAGCUCUGUCCUCAAGGGCAGAGUGCUUGCCCAGCCCACGGGGCUUCCCACAGCAUGCAUGGGGCUGGUGUGCCCAUCCAGCACCCCACAGUGAGCUCAGGGAAACAGCAGGGCAGGAGCACCCAUGGGAAUCUGCCUAUGGAUUUUGUUGAGUCCACUGCCAUCAACAUUCAAAUUACCAAGGAGUUAAAAGAAAAGUGCUGCUCCUUGCCCUAUGAACAUGCUGGGUUGGGCUGGGAAUUCCAAGAGGAUUUGUAAAUGAGGUUGAAAAUUCCCAGCCAACCACUUGGCACCUUUUUAGUAGGAAAAAUAUAGCUCUUAAAAAUCUCAUAAACUGAAAGUGGUUGAGAAAUCAGUGGCAAUUACCUAAUUGAACCCUCAGCUUUAUUAAUAAAUCAAGAACAACUGCUCGUGCAGCUGGGCGGGCGCUGUGACCCCCUCCCACCGCCGCGGGGCUGCGUCACAGUGCACACACAGCAGGUGCUCACCGGCGCUGGGAUCCCUGUGUUUAAUGGGCAAAGUGCGGUGCACUGAGUGCUGGCAGGACAGGCCAUUGCUUCAUUUUGCCCUGGUGAUUUGGGGGGCAUUUGAGGGUUGCUUACGGUGAGGUGUGCUUUGCCUGAUGGCAUUUCUGCCGAGUGACAGACGAGCCAUCUGGCGUUACGCUGAAGUGCAGCGCAGCGUUUGCUUAGGAGGGAGCCUGCAGCGAUGACAAAGCAGUUCUGCACCUCCACUGCCUGUGUCACGGCCGGUCAGCACGGCUGGGCUGCUGCUGGCAGAUCAGCAAAGCCAGCAUGAGGUGGCAGAGCCGUGCUGGAGCGAAAGGAGCCCAUCAGACCUCUGCCCUCCUAGGGACGUGGAGGGGACUGAGCGGCAGCAAGAAAAAUGAGGGACUUUCAGGGGCAGCUGUGUUUUACUAACCCAGUCAUAAUGCCCCUAAAAAUCCUUAUUGUUCUUGCAAUGGUCAACUGUGACCUCCGGCACAGGGAGGCCUGGAAGGUAAGCACGAGUGCUGGGCGCAGGGCGAGCACGGUAGGGCAGGUCUGCCUUUGGGAAGGCUUGCUUGCAAGCUGGAGUGGUGUUACAGGCUGGGGGAGGAGUUUCUGUCAGAGUGGAUUGGAAAAGAUUCACUGUUAAUUGUGGUAUGGAGAGUGCACUGUUGCAUGAAUCUCAGGGCAUGAGAACUGGAAGGCAAAGUGAGAGAAAUGAAAGAAACCAAGCACUUUCCCUCCCUCUUGUAUCUGUCUCUCAUUUCUGGCUAUCACAUCAAAAUGCAGCCAGAGACGUUCUCAAACCAACCCUGGAGACACGACCCCUGACCGCAGCACUCCAGCAGGAGCGUGGCUGGUUAAGAGCAAGGUGUUGGGGAGCAGGGGGGGUGCACCCCGAGCCACCGGUCCUUUACUUAGCAUUAGAAAUUACUCCACUGGUUGCAGGACAGUCACGGGAUGUGGGAAGGUGGCCGUGCAGCAUCACCAGCGUGCUGGGCAGCAGGGAGCACCGACUGCCCCCCUGGGCAGCUCCUGCCUGUCACUGCGCCCCUGUCCUGCACAGCUGUGUGCCUGCCGACAGAAGGGCUCCAUCCUGCAAUGCUCCUGCUCAUGUCCUUUCCUCUAACAUCCCAGGGCUGCGCUGCCAUAAAUGCUUUCAGUCAGAAGUAUUUAAAAAGCUUGUUUUCUCAGAUUCCAGGACAGUGAUGUGUGCUAGCUUCUUACAUUAUUGCAUCUGCAUUUCUUCCUUUUUUUUUUUUUUUCUUUUCUCUCUCAGUAUUCAAUUUUCAUGUUUGGGAAAGCGUUGGUGGUUUUAGACUUAAUGCCUUUCAUUACGCUGGGAACUGCCCUCUCCUUGCUAACUCCCUGCUUUCCUCCUCUUCCUGCUGAACUGCUCUCAGUCGUCGCAGCUCUCUGCUCAUCCCCAUCGCCUCAUUCUGAGCUCCAUUCCUGCUUAGGGCAGACGGAGAUGCAGUAAUUGCACAAAGAGAAGCAAUUUGUUAAACAGAACUGUAAUAUUCAAUUAUCCUCCAUCAUGCAUUCUAACACCUUGUUUGCAUUUCUGAGAGCUUGUAUGUGUUGCGUUUUUAUUUUCACUGAACCCUACAACAGUGUUCAAAGCUUUUCCCCCUUUAAUAACUCUACCAAGGGAGAUGGAUAACCAAAUUAAGCUGGCUCCACAACAGUAACUGUCCUUUUCCCAGCGUCUGGUUGCUUUAGUCAUUACCUUUUUGAAAGGGCUUUGUGUACCAAUUAAUUGGUAUGUUUAUCAAUGAAUUCUGCUUCACGUGGCUGUGCCAACAGAUUAGAAAUGCAUGCCUAUUUUUCUUUUUUUCCCUUCUCUCUCCCCGGACUGCACAGACUUGCCUUUGCACAUCACUUACCUAUUUUUAAUUGGGCUACGUGGCUCUGGAGCAAGCAUUACUCAUUUGUUAUUUGUCAUUCUCAGGAACAUUUCAACUGCUUCUGUUAGAGCUGAAUUCUAUGUAAAGGAGAAGUGACUAGAAACCCCAGACUGGGUCCCAGGUCUUGCUUAACUUUGUAAUGCACGCUGACUUGCUGACGCGACUCCAGUUAAGGUAUGGUAUGAAUCAGGAGCUCCAACAGCCGCUGCGGAAUGAGCGCGUUCACAUGAAGUCAUCCUGCAGCAGCUAUUGCAGAAUAGUCAACUGCUCUGUGUAAGCAAGCCCUAAAAGCCAAUCCUGGUCCCAGCGGCUGUGUGACUAGGUAAGGGAGGUAAAGGGCACAAGAAAGGCACCCUUCUGUCAGCUAUGGAUGGGCUGGGAGCAAAGAAACCCGUGCUGCUCAGGGCUGCCUUGCAGGCCGCUGCUUUUGGAGUGGUUUGGUUCAGGACUUUCUGCUUUGAUGCCUUUGAUUUCUGAGACUGGCCCUGCGUACGAAGCCGCAGACUGUUUCCUCAUUUAGCCAGUGCAGUGUCUUCACCUGAUACCGAAACAAGAUGGAAGGAAUUGAAUGUUUCCCCCGGUGUGGCUGGAAUUGAUCUGCUUUUAACCCAGUAUCUACCGAUGGAAUAAACAGAAGCAGCUCCACUACUACCAGGAUGGAGAACAACCACCGACUCUUAGUACCGGAAACAGGAAGAUCCAGAAGGGGUUUUUGUUCCUACGUUACAAUUUUUAUCUUUAGUAUUCACAUCUUACUCAAAGUAAGAAUAUUUAUAUGCUAAAAUAAACCCCUUUUUGCUUUGUGAUACUGGAUUGAGCCUGCCCACCUUCUUCCUAUCACAGCUCUGACCCGUGGAGAGAGCCAAGUGGUGGAUGUGGAGGUCAGAAGGGGCCCUCCGAAUGCAGGGGAUGCACACAGAGCAAUCCUGCAGCCCGUCCUGAAGCCGGUGCAUGGAUGAGCGGAUCUUUCUCUCAUGUGCUAUGGGAACUCUGCCUAUAUAAAUGUCUGACAAACUCUACCAGUGCUUUAUAACCUUGUGUCUUCUACCUUCUGGUAAGCCACAAUUUCCUGCUUAUGCAUCUCUGUGGAAGAAGCCCUUCAUAUAUGUGACUGCAUGUGGUGAAUAGGAGAGCAAGAAGAGUUGGUGUUAUUUUUAUCCUAUCUGUUCACAAAACAGCUCUCCCAGUCACACACCCCUCCAAUAGCCUCGGAGUGGAGGGCAGGUGCAGAGCCCUGUGGGGACACUUGGUACUUGGCCAGGGGCUGGCAGGCAGGAGGGCUCCUGCAUGCCCUGCAGGUGGGAUUCCUGCUCCAUUUCACUGCAGGGCAUUCUGGGCAGACCUGUGAGUCCAAUUCUGUGUGCCCAGGCCAAAGCAUUACGAUUUCAAGGACAAAUUUGGCUGUUCCUUUUGAAACUUCACUGUCAUUUAGCACCUCCAUUCUGGCUUGGAAAAAUGCAGAAAUUCCUAUAAUAAAUGUGUUUUGAAAAGUAUACACAGGCAAUCAUGAUUUUUUCAGUCAGUCUCAAGUGAUGCCAUCCACUUCUACUCUGCUUAAGUGCUGCCCUGGACUUCUUGAAGUUGCCAUCCCUGGCAUAUGCUAAGUAAGUAGUACGAACAUUUCAAUAGACCUUGCCAAAACAAAGCAUCCCCUUCUGGCAUGCAGAUAAUUCUGCAUGGAUAGCAGAAGAUGUACUAAGCUUGAGCCACUGUUCAUAUUUCUUUGCACAUCAAAGCAAUUGCACCAGCAUCUUUCAAGCACCCAUGUUCCAGGCUGCAAGGAGUCUCUGGCUGCACAGGGCCUUUCUGAAUUGCCCUGUGAUGUUAUCGACUGCUUUCAGUGCACAACAUCUGCCUGGAAUAAUUUAAUGUGGUGCUUUCAGUCAAAUAGAAAUUGCAUGUCAGCCACAUGAUCUGAAUUAGACCAGUGCAGGAAAUAACAUUUUGCAGGCAAAUUUGGUGCCUUCUUUCACUGGAGCCCUUUGGUACUUGGCUGUAGUUUUCGAUGAAUAGCUGUUUCAUGGAGGAAAUAUGGUAAUUAAGGCAAACUUUCUUCAUGUUUUAAACUACUUUCAGCAAAACUAGAAAUCCAAGCUGCCAAGCAACCUUUAGUUUUAGCAGAUUACUGCUGGUCUGUGUCUUUUUAAUUAGGCCAGAGUCGAUCAAGUUUAAUUAAGAGAAUUGGUGGGACAACCAGGACAGCCUUCCCAAGAGCAGGACUCUGUUCUGGGGCCCAGUUGGUACUGGUUGAGAUUUGGUUCUCUAUAAAGACAAAGAAAACAAAAUAAAACCUCAGCAAAAUGAAUAGAUGUCAUGAGUCUCAAGCACACAGACAAAGGACAGGGUUUGACCAUCAGUCUGUAGGCAGAAGGGCUGUCACAGACAGCCAGUCACAAUAUAUUCUGAUCUUUUGGUCAGCACAGAUGCUACCUGCAGUACCAAGCUUUGGCUCUGUGGCGAAUGAGAAGCAAAUCUACGGAUUCUAGUGCUUGUACUUCCAGGCUGUUAUGGCUUGCUCUUAAAUGGGGAAAGGAAGCCAAAGGAAAUCAUGUGCAUUGGAGUCAAAUACCAUUUUUAGGAGUGGGAACUGCAUGAGUAUUUCACCAGUGAUUAAAAUAGCCAGGGACCAGGGCACACUAAUGAUUAAUGAUCUCUUUCUGCAAGCUGAGGACAUGUCCUACAGAAUCUGGCCCUCCUGAGAGAUAGUCAUGAAGUACAGUUUGGCGGAGCGUAUUUUAAAGGCAUGAGCAAAAAUUGGUAGGUUAAUUGUUGUUUUUUAUGUUGUGGAUCUGCUGUGUCAUUUGGCUUGAAUUACUGGCCCCUAUUUCGGAAGCAUGCAGUACAUGGAAGUAGCCCUUACCAACCUGGUGCAGCCACACCACUGUCCCACUCCCAGCACAGGCAGGAGUGCGGGCUGAGAAGUUACACUAAGCUCACUGCUGCAGGUGGAACAAGGCCAUCUACACAAUUAUUCUAAAGCCCCUUUUUUUUUGACUUACCUCGUUUGCCUUCUGUGAAGGCGGCUCUCCUUAGCAGGACCCCCAGCACUCCUGAGGUCACAUCCUGCAUGCUGCAUUACAGGGAAUUCGGAGGCCUGGACUGCACCUUGUCCCCAUGGCAGCUCAGAGCACAGCCCCACUCGGGAGGCCCCACCAGCCAUCCUCCAUCCCUUCACUGCAUGGCAAAGAUUACUGCUGCAGGAAGGAGGCCAAGCAAGAAGCUGUGUGAUCCCUAUCAACGCACCUGCCCUCUUCCAGCAUCACACAGACACCACUGAUUUGUCCAUUAGAGAUGUCAUUUUUCCUGCACAGAAACAGCAGUACAAGGCGUUACUACAAUCAAACUUCAGUUUCAAGUGAGGAACUUCUGGGAGUUCCUCUUCUUUUUUUUUUUUUUUUUUUUUCCAGCUGCAGGGAAGGGUGAAAACUAUCAGCUAUAAAAAUAUUACAGUUUAUGCUGUUAAAUAAAUCAUAAUUUGUCAACAGGUAGCUGAAUUAUGGCCAAUUCCACUGAGAGCCAAAACUGAUCUUCUUUCCCAGUGCUAUUGUAUAGUAACAGCUGGCAGAACACUGUCAAGCAAAGCUGUGCUGUGCUAAGCUGAUAAAUAAACCAGUGAGCCUCAGUGUAGGAGCCACAUCAUCUCAUGGAGAGACUGCAGCUCAUGCUGGAAUGUGUUGCACAAAUGCUUGUUAACAGUCUACACACAGGCAGAGAGUUGCUUUAUGAAAAGGUGUUAGAAAAAUGUGAUUUGAAUAAGACACAGCAUUCCUAGGGUUAUCAAAAGAACCAGCCAGGUUUCAGGUCUCAGAGUACUAAAGCACAGCAGCAAGCCAGCCAAUGUUAGCAUUUCUUGUUCAUUCAAAUGGAGAGUCUGGUAACCGGAUUCUGGAUGAGUGGAAAGUCCCAAUAAGUUCUAAGAUACAGCAAGGCAAGCCAGAAAACCAACAGAGCAAAAUCUGUUUCUAUUUGUUUCACAGCUCCCAAAUUCUGCUGGAGAGUUUUGCACUCUUCAGUUGUUUCUGAGGCAGAAGGAGACCUCCUCUGAUUGCAGAUGCUGUGUUGCUUUAAGCCAAUCAGACUACACUGUCCCGGGUGGGAGAAGGAAGGGUAACAAGUGCCAGUGCCCCAUCAGGAGAUACAGCUUCAUGCUGGAGCUCAGAGCCUCGUGCAGCCGGCAGAUAACGCUGUGUGUUUUAUACUUAACACCACUCUGGUUUUGUCCUUGCUUUGCAGGCAUUUUAUUUUUAUCGUGGGUAAGAACAGGAAUGUGUGCAUUUCUGUGAAAGGCCGAGCACAGGGCUGCAAGCUCCAUCUCAGUGCAAAUAAUACUUUGGCAGGAAACCUGCAGGAGAUUAAAUUAGGGACCUAAAGACUGAAUAUUAAAGCAUUUCCAACUUUUGAGUUCUUUUAAAUAAGCAGCUACAAAACAAAGCAGUCUGACAAAAUUAGCAGGACCAAAGUGCUAAAGGAACCCACUAAGGGUCAUUUAUUUGUUGAUGCAGAUUUAAGAGAACUUUUUAAGUUAUUUGUAUUAGUAGCUGUGUAUGUCAACAUGCUAUUUCCUCAAUGCAUUUUGAGUCCAGAUUAGCUAAAGUUUUAGGUGUUGGCAGACUUGCUACAAUAGAAGGGAAAUGCCACUGGAAUAACUUUAAACAUGAUCCAAUCCCUGAUGAUUCAUUGGAUGUGUUAAAAUUUCCUUUGAGACCAUGUAAGUAAUGCAGGGACUGGAGUGCAGAGUGCCUGUGACUCAGCUCUCUGCGAGGCAAAGGGAGGAUGUCAGAAUUGCUCACUGGGACUGGAGGAAUCUCAUUUAUCUAUUUAUAGGCAAGGCUGAGAUGAGCUCGUGCCAUUGAAGAGCUGAAUUUGCCAGUUCUCUUGGGGGGAGGAAAAGGGAAGGCCCUCCCGUUAGCUGGUGGGGCUGCUUCCAAACCCAAGGACUCUGGCCAGCUGCAUUUUCUUGCCCUCGGAUGAGCAGCAUGGGGCACCUGGUGCAGACCUGUGGGAGAGCAGAGCAGCCCAGCCCCCAGCACCAGCUGCUGCUCAGCCCCUGCUCCAGAGGGGCUGCAGGACCAGCAGGUCCCGUGCCCUGAGGUCAGGGGGCUCUUCCCACUGCAGGGGCAUCACUGCAGCACGCGUGUAUGUCAGCCAGCUUCAUUUAAGAGGUGCCGGUUAGAGGCUGCUUUGCCAAAAGCCUUUUUACUGCUUCUCUUCAAAGAGGUACAGCAGUAUUCCCCGUGAGUGGGCAUUCUGCCUAACAGGGCAUCAGAAAAGGAAAGCUCCAGGGGACAGAGCGGGGAGCCGAGCACACUGCCUGCUUCCAGCCUCUGCACAGCCUGCGAGCCACUGGCAGUGCUGGGACAGCCAUUCCUGAAGGUGUGCUUUCAGCCAUGUAUAUUUAGGUUUGGGAGGUGAAAGACGGUCACACUGUGGGUAAAAAGCAAGAGCUCAAACCCACAGCGAAAUGUUUUAGUGACACUGCUUUUCUGGUACAGCUGGCACUUAGCUGUACAGCAGCACACACUGCGGCCUGGUCUUCUUAUUAAGAAAGAAACCACUCCAUAUAGGCACCACACACCGCACUGCUCCAUCACUGGGAACACCUUUGUGGUGUUGGUCCGGGCUGUUCUUUCCAUUCCCUGCAUUUAGCUGCUGUGGCUAAUUCCCUUCCCAAAAAAGAAGUUAUCUAGGAACACAGGGCUCUGGAUUACUGAUCCAGCCUCCUACUGUUACAUUCAAUUACAUCAUAUCGUGCUUUUUGGCAGGUUGUCCCAGCACUUCAUUUAAAAUUUUCAGCCUUAAUAUCAUUUGUUCUUGUGCCAGCAUCAUAAUGUAGUUUAAACAAUUCUCUUUUUUCUCUGAUCUUUACCUAUCAGAUAUAUUUACUGAAAACAAUCCUAUCUCCUCUAGCCUUUGUUUUGAAAAACUAAACAAAUGAAACUCUUCUAGUCUCCUCUUGUUCCAAACCCUCUGAUCAUCCUCAAUGCCCUUCUCUGUACCUGCUAAUCUUCCUCGAACAUGAGUGAACCUGUACCUUCUAGGAUUGUGUUUGCCUCUCCAUAUCAGAUUGGUGGCUCACAGUCAUCCCUGGGAGCGAAUUAUUCUCUGUGGUUUUUUUUCCACCCCCCUGCCUUUGUCAUCUUCAAGUGAGUAAUAUGAUAUUCUAGUUAUUAAUUUCUAAAUGCAUGUCUUAAUACUUUCUCUAUUCUAUUUCAGAUGAAUUCUGUCAUUCACUCAUUGCUGAUUGAUGUUCCGAUCAUCCUCUGUAUUAACAAAGCCCGUGUCCUCAGCAGAUUUCUUUACUACAUUCCUACUGCUGUGCCAGACUCGUUAAUGAAAGAAGCAAGAGUGAGCUCAACACUGACUCCUGAGGAGUUCCACUUACUGACUGCCUCUGUCUGGCAUUUCUUCUCUGCUCAGAGCUCCCCUUUCCUCUGCACUUUAACAGCUCUCUGGGACUACUAGAGCAAGAACAUGGCUUCUUAUGCAGUAUAGAAAAGCUUAUGAGGAGCAGCAGGUGAUUGAUGCCUCCUGAGGUCAGUGCCAGCUGCACUUAACUGCUGCUCAAGGCCAGUGUUAAGGCAAACAAAAGCACUUAGGCCACCAGCAGCGUAUGCUCACCUGUUUGACUUUGCAGAGAAGUAAUCACAGAGCCAGUGCCAGCUUUGUGCCUGUCGUCUCCCAGCUGAGAGCUGUGACUGUGUGUGGCCUGAUGCAGCUGCAGAAGGGCUGUCUGAGGGCUCACAAAGCUGAAGUCCGAGGCACAAAGUUCAAGUCCAAGGUCCUGUAUUGACAGUGUGUGUGGUCAAGACCUGCGUUCCUGUUGAAAGAAGGAGAGAAGGAAAGCUGGACUGCAUCAUGAGCUCUUUGUACUGGCUCUGCAAGAGCAAUUGUGCUCACUGGCAAUAUCUAUGUCUUGGACCACCCAGCAGCAUCCAGCAGCCCGGGUCAGGUAGGUGUGCUCCAUUUGUUUAGCACCAUGACUGAGUUGGGCACCUGAGGACAAAGUUAUUAAAGCAGUCUGCUCUCAAGACCUAUGUGACAGCAACUGCAUCACUGUCUGCUUUCACUGAAGUCAAUGGGACUCUGGCCACAGGCCUGAUUCCUCUCUCUCACACAUCAAUAGAUUAUCUUUCAAGUCCAUUGGCUUCUAUGAAAUUAGAGCUGUCAAGCCCUGGAUGUACACUAUGGCAUGGUUCAGCCAAAAGAAAUGGGGGACAUGAUGGAAAUUGAAACCUCUGGAAAGACUUGGCCUAUCUUGUAUGCUUAGCAAGUCAGUAGAAUAUUAAUGCUGCAUCCAUCACUCAGAGUACGUGCUUCUGGAUGCUUGGCUGACUUUGGUAAGGGGCACUUUGAGAAGGAUAAAACUGCAUUUUCAUUGCUGAGAACCUUCCUACAGCACACAAUGUUGCCCAUGGGAUGCUGACAACCUACUGGUGUUGUCUUCAGAGACUACAUAGGGGCUAACACUGCUAAACUGUAUAAACAAGUGCUUACCCCUGAAUAUCACGUUAGUCCAAACAGGAUUUAUAAACACAGAGAUGGUCAGAGGUGGGCUGUCCUCCAAUCAGUCUGUGAAUCUAGAAAGAAAGAAAGAAAAAAGAUGACUUUGUAUUCUUUCAAUUACAUACGUUUCAUACAUAAUUAAAGUAAUCACAAAAACACAUGCAUUGUAUCAGUAAUUGGCAAAUUAAGAAUUCGGUCACGGUUGUUCAGGAACUUACAGACUCCGUGCAAUACCAAUAAUAAUUAUUUAUAACCUACUAUGUAAGGAAAUUAGUCCAGGAAAACCGACUGAUUAUAACGUAGCACAGUCACCCCAAGGGAGAAGUUGAGUGCAGUGUGCAAGGAGCAAGACAUCACACCAUUUUCUUGUCUCGUAUUAUAAACUUUACUGCAAGUAGCAUUCUGGUACUGAAUGUCUCGGUUCCCCUGUAACAAAUACCUAUUGUAUUCCUGCUGAAUUUCAUUGAAUUUACUCCUGAGUUAUACUUAAGGUCUGAGGCAGAUCCACAUUGCUGCUUUCUGUAUAAAUCCCUGAGCUGCUUAUUCACGAGGAUGUGCAGCUUCGCAAAAGAAUGAGUUGAGAGAAUGAGCUGGGUGGCAGACUGUUAGUUCUGAUGGUAUUACCAUAGCAUCCGGAGAAGCUAAAUGCAGUGCUAACUCAAGGUACAAGAAAGCUUCAGCCCUUGAAAAGAGCUGACAAAGACGAUGCACAGAAAGUGGGAGGAAGCAAAGAGGCACAGAGAAGAGAAGCGGCUGUGCAGUGUCACACAGCAGGCAACCUGGGGGGGCAGGAGCACGGCCCCGUCUCUUAGCACUUUCCGGCUUCACACUGCCUUUUGGUCCUUUCUGCAUGUGGACCUCAUGCAUCUUCAAUUGAAAGCACAACCCAAAAAUAGAAGAUCUUUUUUUGUCAAGAGAACUCGUGCUCUGCGAGUUGUGAAAACAGAUUAUUUCCCAUGAUUAAUACCUGCCUCCUCUCUGAAGACAUCCAUCUCUGCGUGGAUCGGAUUCUAGUAAAGCAAAGCUCACCUCUUAGGAAAGAAAGCUUUCCGUUUUCUUUCUGCUAACAUUUCUCCUCACCAUUGUCCCUGCAAUCCUUUUAUGAUGCAGGCCCAACAUAACUCACAGUACUUCCCAUUAUUGUGUGCCACGAGUGUGAGCAGAGCCCUUGUUGUGGUAGAUAGCAGCCUUCAGACACCCCAUGUUUCCUGUUCAACUGGAGCCAAUCGCACACUGCUUGGUACUGAAACUAAGUCCCUAAUUAAUUUAUACACAAGGAGGCCAUUGUAACGAUAACGUAAUGGAGAUCAGUCCAUUAGCAAAAAGUGUGGAUAAAUUAUUUUCUUUUAAUGCUUCCAUCAACGUUAAGACCCAUUAAUCAUAUUUUAAGAAAACAACUUUAAACUUACACGCUAUUUGUAGGCAUUUCUGAUGGGACACCCAGCCAGCCCUGCUGUUCAGCAAGGAAAUCUCUGCCAUUCACUGAGCAGAACUGGAUCUUUACCACACAGAAGAUGGCACAACUGGUCCGACUCCACUGAUAUUCUCUUUAUAACGUGAGAAAGUAGCAGUUUUAACAAAAAGGAAAUCAAGAUUAAAUGCAACAUAUUCUGAAGGAGGAAAAAAUUCCUAGCAGCAGCUGAAAGGGAAGUGGAAUUCAUCAAUGCCUCUUUCAUCUUUAUCAAAUUACUAUUCAGUGCAGUUACAUUUAUUAAUAACAACAGCCCUUAAACCACAUUGUGAAAACCCAUUAGCAAGAAAUGCUUUAAAAUCUACAACAGGCUGAAACAGAAGGUUUAUCAAAGGCUGAAACAAUUCAACAGUAUAAGCAGAGUGGGCAUUUUUAUGGGCUGCUGAGCGUGCCAGAGCAUCACUGUGACAUAUUCACAAGUGGGCUGUUUGUGCUGUGUAACUAAAACUUGCUCUUGAAUUCAGUAACCCACAUAACCAAGAGGUAAUGCAAACUCAUGCUGUGCUUUGGAUUUUUUCCCCUCACUCCAUACAUACCUAUUGCUGCUGGCAGUUGCAGAGCUGUCAGUGCAGCACGGAGCGGGCAGUCCCACAGCUCUCACUGCUCACAGAGGGGAUGCACAGUGACUUCCCCAUAACAAACCCUGAUGAGAAGAACCUUUGGAGAGGUCAUAACUAUUCCCAUGAGAGUCAGGACCAGCCUGGAGCCGACCACCGUAUCACUCUUUAAUUUUUCAACACAGUUUACCCUGGAAGUUUACAUAUUCCCUUCUCAUUCCCUUACUUGGUUUUUUAAGAGCAGGCAGUUUGAAUGUCAAUCACUGCUGAGCAAUCUCUGAGAGGGUAUGAGAUACGAAGGUGAAAUCCAGAGGAGGGAUUCUGUCAUCAUCCUCACAGCAGAAGCUGCCAGUCAUCCCCAUUGUGCACAUCCUGCACCACUGGAGAUGUGUACACAUCCCAGGGGGGCUGUUACAGAAGGGCCGCUGCCUUGCCCUGCUCUCAGUCGCUUCCAGUUUGCAGCAGAGAACAAUAAUGGCACAGACAGCGCAGCAUUGCUGUGUGCUCAUUCCGCAGCAGUGACUGUAUCUGUCACAGCCUCCUGCUGCAUCAGGGCAACGAUGUUUCUGAAGGCAUUUUCUUUGUUGCUGAACAAGGCAAAGCCUGAGUCGGGGAAUACAGGAGAGGCGAAGGGACAGAGCGAGGGAUGCGACUGCAGCUGGGUACAAGUGGACAGCAGUGCUUGCAGAUCAGCCCAUGCACAUUCUCCUUCCAGAUCUGAUAAUUCCCUGAUUCUGUAAAAACACACCCAAGGCAGGGCUCACGAGGUGCCUGAGGCAGAUAUGCAGACUGCAGCUAAAUGCAUCCCACUUCUCUGGAGGGAAAAGUCCCUUCACACCCAUAAGCUGUACACGUAUCUCACCCCAGCAGGAUGGGCAGACUGUGCCACCUCCAACCACUCUCCGGCUCCAUCCGUCCCCACAGUGUGUUCUACUUAGGAGAGCAAAAGGGUGGCAGAACAAAUCCGUGGCAGGAUGUAUCUUCUGUAAUCGCACACAACUCAGCUUGUUAAAUUGACUGGUUUCUGUCCCAGCUGAGGUUGUAACUCCAUGAUUACUUUUGACCGAGCACAGCUAGAAAACACGUAAUUACAUGGGCCAAAGCACAGAGAAUGGUGCCCACUGCUUUGCUGGUCAAGUGCAGCACAUGAGGGGAAUAGAACCGCUUGGAAAUGAAGUGUACAUUCACACCUCACCACAUCCUCACUGCAGAGUUUACGGCUUUCAGGCUUGGGCAGCAUGAAAGGCAAAAAUCUCCCAGGAGCAGUGAUGGAUUGCGUGGCAUGAAAAAUCACAAAUGGUCAGUACUGGGGAUGGGGGUUCCACCAUCCAGCCAGAUGCAAGCAGUCCAGGUGAGCACUGGUGAGACAGCACUUGGCAUCUCGCAGGAACGAUCCUUCUGGGCUGUAAUCCCCCCUCUCCUGGUGCAUUUUCUGUUUUCUCUGUUGUUGACCUGCAGUGAUGGAGGAAAGGGGUUGGACAUAGAUGGUGCUCUGAGCAGGAGUGGGGUCUGCUGGAGAGGGAACAGCUGUGGGGCUGGGAGGGAAACAGAGACGGGAAUGAGACAGAUACAUUUCCCCUCUGGGAGGAUGGGCUCAGGCAGCCUGAGGAAAAUAAGGCUAAAAUGAAAGGGAGGAAACCAGAGAAGAGAAGAUGGAACAAGGGAGAUCACAGAGAACAACAGGAAGCAGUGCUGAGACGACAGACAUGAAGGCUGGGCUUGUGGGAGAAAAACAAACAGAGUAAAAAAAAAAAUCAGGAAUAUUGUGCAAAAGACAGAAAGAAUUUUUUAAAAAGUCCUAUAAAAGUGCCAACUACCCAGCUGCUGUAAGUAAAACUCCAGUACACUUACGUCAACACCACACCACAGAUCAGCACCAGGGGAGGAGGUCUGGGGUUGUUUUUUAAUUGCUUGGAAAGGCUUCCAGUGAUGCAGAACGUGAACUCCGGCUUCCACUGAUGUCAAAGGGAUUUAGAGGUGCUCACGGUCUCACAAAACCAAGACCCAGCUUGUCAAAGUGCAUGAGACAAGAUGCCGCAUUCAUCCCUCGAGAAGAGCCAGCUUUGCACAUUGCCUGACCUGCACCUCGAUGGCACACGUGUGGCAGGGACACGAGGACACAGGGACACAGCUCAGCUCUGCCCACAACACACCAGGCUUUUGCUUUGCUCUCCCUGAUGAGCAGCGAGGUCCUUGGUUUGCACAGCCAGGCGUGAGUAGGGGUAAGAGGCAUCCGCUUUGCUGGUUGAAGUGAAAUGUUUGGCUUAUUGGCACAGCUUGUUUAGAUUGGCUCCUAGCACUCAGUCGAUGUUAUUAGAGAAAGCAAUCAAAAUGCAUUAAAUACUAGGAACUACAUUAAAACAACAUGGAGCAUGCAACACAAACCAAGAAAAGCAAGGGGCUGAGUAUGGAGUCUGCCAUCCCCUCAGUCAUGAGUAUGAAUAUGGUGGAGCCAUGUCACAGCGACGUUUGGAGAGGUAGAGCUGGUGAGUUCUUGCAUGCUGCAACACGGAAGAUUUCAUCUCCUUUUCCUCUCCAAACCACAGCUUCUAGAAAGACUUUGAAAUGCUGCAGUCAGCUCCUACGCCUCCCUGCUGAGCUCCUUCCAGACUGAGCUCUUAAAUUUGCUAUGUUUUUGCCAAGACCUAAUUUUCUUUUGACCACAUAUUAAAGGGCAGAUUCCCAUGCCACAGGGAGGGACUGAGAAGUCAUAACGGACACAUCCGUCACCUGUUUGGCCAGAGAUAACUGCUCUACCCCAGUUCUGCAGCUCCAUCAGACUUCUCAGUUUCUUCUUUGGCCUUGAGAUAGGUCUCCAGGGGCUCUGGGAUCCCUAACUUAUCUGUUUUGUUAACUGAUUGCAGCCACAGCCAGAUCCUCGCUUUUCUACUAUACUAUGAAAAUCACAACUGCAUGUUACACCUGGUUGAACAGCAAGGUGAUUAUUGUAAAGCCUGGAUUUCCCAAGGGAAUAAAGCUGUACAUGGAGCACUGUGUGAGCCGAAUGCGUGCAAGUAGUUCUUGAUCGUGUCAGGCUAUUUCAAGGAGACAGAGAGGAGGAUUUCUCAGAGCCCUGAAGGUCCCAGACAGACGCUGCUGAUGACAGAUGGAGGACAUGGACACCAUUAGCAUCCCCUGAGGAAAAGACAGCAGCGGAUGCUCCCUCUACACCAGACAGCAGAGAUGCCACAGAGGUGAGCGCUGUUCAUUCAACUCGCUGAUCAUGAAAUUACUCAUUAAUAAUCUCUUUGCGUGAUCGCUUUCUAAUGCCACUCCCCUUCCCCAUCUGCUUGGGGCUGCACCCUGCACAGCUGUCCGCUAACCACCUUCCUCACCCAGCUGCCCAUCACCUCCAGGGCCUCCAGCAGUGAGCCAUCCACGUGUUGCUGCAGCAGCGUAGCAGGGAAACCGGAGAGAGGAUCAACACACGAGGCGCUGGGAGCUGCAGCGGGGCAACAGCUGUCCCUCAGCACAUCCAUUGUUCUUGUGCAGAGAAGCAGCUUUAAGAAAGUGGUGUAAAUUACAGGAACUGGAUCACUGGCUUGAACAAUGUCAGCACGUCCCUUCGAGGGCAUUCACUCCCCCCACGCCAUGAAACGACAAGUUAUUAUUUAACAGCAGACCUCACACAGAGGAAUGUUUUUCUGUAUUCAUGACCUCUAACAAGUAUAGCAAUUGUUUACUAUACUCUGAGUGAUCCAGAAGGAGCUAUAAUGUGAUAAUUAUAGAGAAACCUUCCUAAAAAUAUAUUUCUGAUGCAUCAGCAAAAACUCGGCAGGCCCCUCCAGCUGGCACUGCACAUAUGAGUUAAGCCCAAUUUGAGAAUCAGAUCAUGCACUACAUUUUGUGCAGCUGUGCAGACUCCAACGAGAAGCUCUGGAGCAGAUGUCUUGUAGCAAUGGAGGGCAGGGCAUGAAGAAGCAGAGAAGCAGAAGAGACCAAAGCCACGUUUCUUGACUGAGUGGUCAGUGACAUAGGAAAGCAUCAGUUCCAUUUUCAAGUUGGAUAAACUGAGGCUCUGGAAAUCAGAACACCGGCAUUUUCUAAGCUGCUCUCUGACUGGUUGGUGUCUGAUGUUAGAGGUCCAGCUCGACUCCAGGCUGCGCCUGCUUCCCCCACAACUACUGAGCCUCUGCAUUUUUCAUGAAGGGAUACAAUUCAUUACAGUGAUUUUUUGUUCCGACAUGCUGCAUUUGUACACCUGCUCCAUGCUCAGCGCUUCCAAACCCCAGCAACGCUCUUUGAAGAAACACCCAGAAACGCCUCAAGAUGUUCCUGCCUUGCAGCCAAGCCACUGAAAAGCCAACCUGCUGCUGCUGCCCAGAGCCCUGAGGCUGACCUGACCCCUCUGCUGCUGUUUCCGCUGAUCAGACUGUGAAGGGAAGCCAGCGCACAGGUGUUUGUUUUCUUUGCCCAGCACAGCACUUCCCUGAAGACAAGCUGGGACUUCACAGUCUCUGUAGCUCCUUGGCAGCAUCUGCAGUCUUCUGUGCCUCAGUUUCCUCACCUGCAGAAAGGCCCACAUGACAAACCCUGAACCCAGGGCUGUGUUAAAGUUUGGAAAACACACAGCACCUUGAAAGAGGGCUUCUAUGGAAGCACAAACAGUCCUUUAUUGCUUCAAUUAAAAAGAGCGUGUUUUACAAUCCACGGUCUGUUUAUACUUGCACUUCUUAUGGAUAUCUCUGAAAAGAACCCAGCCUCAGCAGCUCAUGGAUUUGGCACAGCACGCCAAAUAAUAAGCAGGCUCACCAACCCUUCUACAACACACAGUGCUUCUGUGUAACUUUGCAGGCUGUGUUUGACUUGCCUGAACUUGAACAGUCACCACUGAUUGAUUGGCUUCUAAAAAUACACAUAUGCCAUGGUUCGGAGUCCAGAGAGCUUCUGUUGAUUUAGAUGGAGACCUUGCUGGGAAGAGGCUAAGACAGACACCUGACACCAGGGUGCUGCUGUGCCGGCCACUUGCUGCCGACUGCACAGGGUGCUCUGAAUGCAGGGCUCCACCACGCUCAGCAGCCCUCCAUACCUCAGAGUGGGGAAAAAAGCAGAAAGAAAGCAGCCGUAUGGAUCCCUUCCCUUCCUGCAACUCCAUUUCCAGGCUGCCCUGCAGCUGUUGGUGAUAAGCAGAGUGAACCUGCACAUAUCCUGCCAGAGGGCUGAGCUCAGGUGCUGAGCACCUGCGGCUCCCAGCAGUCAGGGGGGUGCUCAGUGCCCUGCUGAGCUGGGGGGGCUCCCAGCAGGGAUGUGACUCCUGCAAGGGAGAUGCAUUGCAUUGUACCCUGGAGGAGGCUGCAAGCACAUGAUUAUUGCAACAGAAGCCGCUAGGAGAAAAAACAGAUUACCAUUUCCAUUGGAGGUAAUAGGUGCCAUGUUGAUUUAUAAACCUGUCACUGCUGGCCAUUAAGCAAACGCUGUUGCAGCUCCUAGAUCCCAUUCCGGAGCACACAGUCUCUGGCACAAUGUCUUGGAGAGCUCCACUGUAGGGCAUAGGGCCACAGCUUCUCCCUGUAGUGACCAUGAUGUUAGCACUCCCAGUUACAUGCACCCACAUCGCUACAGCUGAAGCUUCAAAAUACAUUUUGGAAAGGGAAGGAGGUGUGGGGCUGCAGGGAGCCAUGGCACAGAGCAGAGGAGCUCAAGCAGCUGAAGCUUGCCACAGGGAAACUGCAGAAAGUCAGGAGCAAAGCAAAGCAGUGUCUGUGCAUUCUGGGUGUGAUGCACUGACAGCAGCAUGCUGGGCACUGGUGAGGAACACAGCAACACCAGGUUUGCUAAAGAAGUGAAACUGAGACAGUUUCCAGCACUGUGCCCAUGCUGGCAGGUCUCAGGGCCACUCUGCUCACUUACCUGCUGACAUCGGAGCUAACAAAAGACAAAGCAGAGUGCAGUCAAAUAUAUACACUGGAUGUUGCCAUGCUACUGAAUGCAGCUUAGCACAGCAGGACUUUUUCUAAAUGAUGUAUUGUAGCUGAGCUAAAACCUAAAUAAUAAUGCUUACUUUGGCUCUCUGGAAGAUCACAGCUAGACAGCAGCCUGUGGAAUACCACGGCUAGUGGAAGAAAUCAUCGGUAUUCUAGGAGCACAUGGGACUGGAGAUGAUCACUGCAGCCAGACUCCUCUUUCACAGCAUCACAUGCCAGCUCAUUUGUGUGUGGGUUAUGCAAUGGAACCCGGCCCUGCUCUCCUGAUGCAACGUCUUGCAGAAGCUGGUUGCUCCAAGACUCAGAACCCUCAUUUCCAGCGUGAGUGGAAGUUUACAGUCACUCUGUCAUCCAAAGAUUUAUUGUCAUUUAUGUAAUGUUCUUCCUUCUGCUGUAUCUACAGAAACCAGUGCCCUCUCUUCAGCUCUGCCACACCGAACAUCCCACAUGGUCACUUCUGUGUCACUCACUGUCCCAGUCAUCUUCUGAGUUCUGCUUUGGAUUCCUCCUUCCCAAAGACAGCUGAUGGGAAUUGGCUGUGACUUUCCAGAUGGAGGCUGAGCAGUUCCUUGUAUGGUGGCAGAAGUGCUUCCCCAUCUUUACUGGAAAUAUCCUGCCUAAUAAACCCGAUGAUCUCACUUGGCUUUUGUGUUCAGUUUUAAAAGAGGUAUAAAAGCAGGCUCUCCAAUAUUUCACUUCAUUUUAUUUUAGUGUUUGUUAUCUGGAAAAAAAGAGGGUAGUUAAACUGCCUUUUUAAUUAAAUUCCUUUAAAUCUCUGAAAACAAGGAAGAAAGAAAGAUAGUAAACAAAGUAAGACAGAAGAAUUACCAUGUGUAUGAGCAGAGGUAUUUUUUCCCGUAACACAUUGAUAUAUAAAUCUCUCUUUCAAAAACUUGCAG
ensembl:lncRNA